GAUGGAGAGAAUUAAAGAUAGAAACACGUAGGAACAUUGAGAGAGAGAAAAAAAGUGAGAGAGAGAUUAGAGCGAGAGGGGAGUGGGUAGGCGACGGAUUAGAGCGAGAAAAAGUUUAGGAUGGAGAGAAUUAAAGAUAGAAACACGUAGAAACAUUGAGAGAGAGAAAAAGUGAGAGAGAGAUUAGAGCGAGAGGGGAGUGGGUAGGUGACGGAUUAGAGCGAGAAAA